GACAUGCUCAUUGAGCCUCUGUCACUGAUUAAAAUUGGAACGAUACAGAGAAGAUUAGUAUGGCCCCUGCACAAGGAUGGCACUAAAUCACUUACAGUAUUGAUUUU
rnacentral:snRNA from 1 species